rnacentral:rRNA from 1 species
GAUGAACGCUGGCGGCGUGCCUAAUACAUGCAAGUCGAGCGAACGGACGAGAAGCUUGCUUCUCUGAUGUUAGCGGCGGACGGGUGAGUAACACGUGGAUAACCUACCUAUAAGACUGGGAUAACUUCGGGAAACCGUAGCUAAUACCGGAUAAUAUUUUGAACCGCAUGGUUCAAAAGUGAAAGACGGUCUUGCUGUCACUUAUAGAUGGAUCCGCGCUGCAUUAGCUAGUUGGUAAGGUAACGGCUUACCAAGGCAACGAUGCAUAGCCGACCUGAGAGGGUGAUCCGCCACACUGGAACUGAGACACGGUCCAGACUCCUACGGGAGGCAGCAGUAGGGAAUCUUCCGCAAUGGGCGAAAGCCUGACGGAGCAACGCCGCGUGAGUGAUGAAGGUCUUCUGAUCGUAAAACUCUGUUAUUAGGGAAGUACAUAUGUGUAAGUACCUGUGCACAUCUUGACGGUACCUAAUCAGAAAGCCACGGCUAACUACGUG